rnacentral:rRNA from 1 species
CCUACGGGAGGCAGCAGUGAGGAAUAUUGGUCAAUGGGCGCGAGCCUGAACCAGCCAAGUAGCGUGAAGGAUGACUGCCCUAUGGGUUGUAAACUUCUUUUAUAUGGGAAUAAAAUGUUCCACGUGUGGGAUUUUGUAUGUACCAUAUGAAUAAGGAUCGGCUGACUGCGUGCCAGCAGCGGGGGUAAUACGGAGGGUGCGAGCGGUAUGGGGAUUUAUUGGGUUUAAAGGGAGCGUAGGUGGAUUGUUAAGUCAGUUGUGAAAGUUUGCGGCUCAACCGUAAAAUUGCAGUUGAAACUGGCAGUCUUGAGUACAGUAGAGGUGGGCGGAAUUCGUGGUGUAGCGGUGAAAUGCUUAGAUAUCACGAAGAACUCCGAUUGCGAAGGCAGUUCACUGGACUGCAACUGACACUGAGGCUCGAAAGUGUGGGUAUCAAACAGGAUUAGAUACCCCUGUAGUC